rnacentral:rRNA from 1 species
UGGGGAAUUUUGGACAAUGGGGGCAACCCUGAUCCAGCCAUGCCGCGUGUGUGAAGAAGGCCUUCGGGUUGUAAAGCACUUUCGGCCGGAACGAAAUCGCGCGAUCUAAUAAGUCGCGUGGAUGACGGUACCGGAAGAAGAAGCACCGGCUAACUACGUGCCAGCAGCCGCGGUAAUACGUAGGGUGCGAGCGUUAAUCGGAAUUACUGGGCGUAAAGUGUGCGCAGGUGGCCGCGCAAGUCGAGUGUGAAAUCCCCGGGCUUAACUUGGGAAUUGCGCUCGAAACUACGUGGCUGGAGUGUGGCAGAGGGAGGUGGAAUUCCACGUGUAGCGGUGAAAUGCGUAGAGAUGUGGAGGAACACCAAUGGCGAAGGCAGCCUCCUGGGCCAACACUGACACUCAUGCACGAAAGCGUGGGGAGCAAACAGG